rnacentral:tRNA from 1 species
GGGGCUGGGGCUCAGGGCAGAGCACAUGCCUCGCAUGCAUGAGGCACUGGGUCCGGUCCUCAGCGCCA